GGCUAACUCCGUGCCAGCAGCCGCGGUAAUACGGAGGAUCCAAGCGUUAUCCGGAUUUAUUGGGUUUAAAGGGUGCGUAGGUGGCUUUUUAAGUCAGGGGUGAAAGACGGUAGCUUAACUAUCGCAGUGCCUUUGAUACUGAAGAGCUUGAAUGAACUAGAGGUAGGCGGAAUGUGACAAGUAGCGGUGAAAUGCAUAGAUAUGUCACAGAACACCAAUUGCGAAGGCAGCUUACUAUGGUUUUAUUGACACUGAGGCACGAAAGCGUGGGGAUCAAACAGGAUUAGAUACCCUGGUAGUCCACGCCCUAAACGAUGAAUACUCGAUGUUGGCGAUAUACGGUCAGCGUCUAAGCGAAAGCGUUAAGUAUUCCACCUGGGGAGUACGCCCGCAAGGGUGAAACUCAAAGGAAUUGACGGGGGCCCGCACAAGCGGAGGAGCAUGUGGUUUAAUUCGAUGAUACGCGAGGAACCUUACCCGGGCUUGAAAGUUAGUGAAUGAUCCAGAGACGGAUCAGUCCUUCGGGACACGAAACUAGGUGCUGCA
rnacentral:rRNA from 1 species